AUGGUUAAGAUUGACCUUGCAAAAGCUUUUGACCAUAUAGAGUGGAACUUCAUUGUGGCUGCUCUCUCUCCUAAAGGGCUUCAUGGUCAUUUCAUUAACCUCAUAUAUGCUUGCAUAUCUUCCCGUCUUUUCUCUGUGAUCAUUAACAGUCAAUCUUAUGCUAGAUUUUGCAAUAAUAUGGGAAUCAGGCAAGGUUGUCCUCUGCCUCCUUAUCCUUUUGUCCUUACCAUAAAUGAGUUGUCUAUCUCUCUUCGGGGAGCCAUGUCAAACAGUCGGUUGGUUGGCAUCACUCUUGGUCCAAAUCACCCUCCGAUUCAUUCUCUCACGUUCGCUGAUGACCUGCUCAUUUGGGGCCAGGCAACUAUUCUUGAAGCUUCAACUACAAAGGAUCUUCUUCAAAAAAAAUUGCUUAGAUUCAGGUCAAACUCCAAAUUGGUCAAAAUCUGCUAUUAUCUUUAG
rnacentral:rRNA from 1 species